CCUUGGUCAUUUAUUUCUGUAUACAUGUAAGGCUUACGAUUUUGUCUAUACUAUAUAUAUAUACGUGUAUGAUUUUAAUUUAAAUUGAUAUUUCAGAAAUGGCGGAUAUUUUCUGGUUAAAAGUCAAAUCUUGUUACCAAUUUUUCUUUUCUUGUUUGUGUUUCAAAUAUAUUGGAUUGACUUGUUUUAAAGUUUAUAAAUAAAUCCUAUCCGUC
rnacentral:misc_RNA from 1 species